GCCCAAGUGGUGAAAUUGGUAGACACAAGGGACUUAAACUCCCUCGGCCAUUGCGGCUGUGCCGGUUCAAGUCCGGCCUUGGGCACCA
rnacentral:tRNA from 1 species